UCCCCAAUGGUCCAACGGCUAGGAUUCCACGCUUAAAUUGGUCGUGGCGGCCAGGGUUCGACUCCCUGUUGGGAAG
rnacentral:tRNA from 1 species